UUUGGCCUGAGUGUGUGUGUGUGAGUGUGUGUGUUCUUUUGGCCUGAGUGUGUGUCUGUGUGUGAGUGUGUGUGCGCGCGUGUGUGUGUUCAGGCUCAGCUGCAAAAACCAUCAUGUACGAUAGGUCAGCGAGGGUCGACAGCUUGCCGAGCCAUUCGCUGACGCUGUCGCUGCACCAGAAUAGAAGGCAGCCAAAAUACAGCAGAGUGGAAGUGGGCAUCAACAUGGUGGGGACCAUCUCAUCCCAAAGAAACAAGCCCAGGGUUCCCACUAAUCCAGUGUGAUGCCUGGCUGAAACCGAGACAGCCUCUUUGGUGGCCACCAGGCCGCUGAAGAAGCCAUUUGUGUUAUCUGAGCCACUUUAAAAAGGCUGACCUCUGACCUGGGCGGCAGGGUCACCGCUCG